UCAGGAUGAACGCUAGCGGCAGGCUUAACACAUGCAAGUCGAGGGGUAUAGUUCUUCGGAACUAGAGACCGGCGCACGGGUGCGUAACGCGUAUGCAAUCUACCGUUUUACAGGGGAAUAGCCCAGAGAAAUUUGGAUUAAUGCCCCAUAGUAUAGUUUAUUCGCAUGAGUAGAUUAUUAAAGUUCCAACGGUAAAAGAUGAGCCCGCAUUUGAUUAGUUAGUUGGUGAGGUAAUGGCUCACCAAGACAAUGAUCAAUAGCUGAUCUGAGAGGAUGAUCAGCCACACUGGGACUGAGACACGGCCCAGACUCCUACGGGAGGCAGCAGUGGGGAAUUUUGGACAAUGGGCGCAAGCCUGAUCCAGCCAUGCCGCGUGCGGGAAGAAGGCCUUCGGGUUGUAAACCGCUUUUGUCAGGGAAGAAAUCCUUUGAGUUAAUACCUCGGGGGGAUGACGGUACCUGAAGAAUAAGCACCGGCUAACUACGUG
rnacentral:rRNA from 1 species